rnacentral:rRNA from 1 species
UACAGAGGUCCCGAGCGUUGUUCGGAUCAUUGGGCGUAAAGGGUGCGUAGGCGGCGGGGCAAGUCUGAUGUGAAAUCCUGGGGCUCAACCUCAGAACUGCAUUGGAUACUGCCCUGCUAGAGUACUGGAGAGGGAACUGGAAUUACGGUGUAGCAGUGAAAUGCGUAGAGAUCGUAAGGAAGGCCAGUGGCGAAGGCGAGUUCCUGGACAGUUACUGACGCUGAGGCACGAAGGCCAGGGGAGCAAACGGG